CGGCCGCGGGCGCGGGCCGGGGCGUGGAGGGCGCCGCGCCCGCGCUCCGGCCCGUCUUUGUGCCGGGACGACCCCGAGUCGCCCCGCGGCGCCGUGCGAGGUGCGGCCGCCGCCCGGGGCCGGGCUCCCCGCCCCCAGCGGUUUAAACGAGGCGUCCCCAGCCGGGGCUCCUGCCAGGCGGCCCGAGCAGGAAGUGUCGUCAGGAGGCCAUUUUUAAAGCCUCCUGCGGGCCUCGUCGUUGAGCGCUGAUGCUCGCAGGGCUUCCAGUGGUCACAGGAGCCGCCCCCGGCCACGCCCGCAGGGGGCCCGGGCCGCCCCAGGGGCCACGACGAAGCUCGGGUCCGGCGCCCAGGCUGUUGGCCCUGGACUGGCCUGGCCGGCGCGCCGUCGAGGGGAAGCCAGCCAACAAUGAACCCGGGACCCUGCUGGCAUUGUCUUCCCCCGGGAGUGCCCAGGAGGCGGUCCCCGGUCUGUUUUCCUUUAAGUGAAAAGAUUGGGCCAGUUUUUGUGCAAAAAGAAGAACAAAGACCAUUUUUAUCAUCUCUGCCAGGGCUGCCAUUUCCUCUCUGCUCAUUCUUUCUAGUACUUUAGAACUGAGUGCCUCCAAGAGCCAAGCCCUGUGCUGUUGAGUGUGAUAAACAAGAUCCUCACCAGUGAGAAUGUCCCCAGUCUUGACUGUUCUCAGACUGUGUUGUGUGCUGCAUUUCAUCAUCAUUGCCCACUUAUGCUCUUCUCGCCAACUACGGUUUCCAAGAUUUCAUCCCUGGAAUGAAAGCAGCUAGAGGUCACCUAAUCCAGACAUUCUCAUCGUGCUGUGGGAGUGGGGUGGGAGGCACUGGAAUCACAUGGGAAGAGUUUUGCACCACAUUUCUGAGCCCCACCCCAAGAAAAGGGUCAUCUGAUAAAUCAGGCUAUAUGAGUCCUGGGAAUCCUUUCAUUUUUUUUGAGCUCCCUAGGUGACUUUGCCACAUAACCCUCUUUGAGAAGAACUUCUAGGACACAUACCCUUUAGUUCCUGGAAGAAAUACACCAAGCAAGCAAGGCUGUGCACCUCCAGGACUUACCUCCAA
rnacentral:lncRNA from 1 species